AAACCAACCGGGAUUGCCUUAGUAACGGCGAGUGAAGCGGCAAAAGCUCAAAUUUGAAAUCUGGUACCUUCGGUGCCCGAGUUGUAAUUUGGAGAGGGCAACUUUGGGGCCGUUCCUUGUCUAUGUUCCUUGGAACAGGACGUCAUAGAGGGUGAGAACCCCGUGUGGCGAGGAGUGCGGUUCUUUGUAAAGUGCCUUCGAAGAGUCGAGUUGUUUGGGAAUGCAGCUCUAAGUGGGUGGUAAAUUCCAUCUAAAGCUAAAUAUUGGCGAGAGACCGAUAGCGAACAAGUACAGUGAUGGAAAGAUGAAAAGAACUUUGAAAAGAGAGUGAAAAAGUACGUGAAAUUGUUGAAAGGGAAGGGCAUUUGAUCAGACAUGGUGUUUUGUGCCCUCUGCUCCUUGUGGGUAGGGGAAUCUCGCAUUUCACUGGGCCAGCAUCAGUUUUGGUGGCAGGAUAAAUCCAUAGGAAUGUAACUUGCCUCGGUAAGUAUUAUAGCCUGUGGGAAUACUGCCAGCUGGGACUGAGGACUGCGACGUAAGUCAAGGAUGCUGGCAUAAUGGUUAUAUGCCGC
rnacentral:rRNA from 1 species